UAAUUAACUCCGCCUGUAGCCUCUCUGGGGGCUACUGCCGGUCUGAAGCCCGGAUAAAGGAGGAGGGUUGG
ncrna:Schistosoma mansoni type-P1 twister ribozyme